CCUACGGGGGGCUGCAGUGGGGAAUAUUGCACAAUGGGGGAAACCCUGAUGCAGCGACGCCGCGUGAGUGAAGAAGUAAUUCGUUAUGUAAAGCUCUAUCAGCAGGGAAGAAAAUGACGGUACCUGAGUAAGAAGCCCCGGCCAACGACGUGCCAGCAGCCGCGGUAAUACGUAGGGGGCAAGCGUUAGCCGGAUUUACUGGGGGGAAAGGGAGCGUAGGCGGCAGUGCAAGUCUGGAGUGAAAGGCCGGGGCUCAACCCCCGGACUGCCCUUGAAACUGUACGGCUGGAGUGCAGGAGAGGUAAGUGGAAUUCCUGGUGUAGCGGUGAAAUGCGUAGAUAUUAGGAGGAACACCAGUGGCGAAGGCGGCUUACUGGACUGUGACUGACGUUGAGGCUCGAAAGCGUGGGGAGCAAACAGGAUUAGAUACCCGUGUAGUC
rnacentral:rRNA from 1 species